AUGAACGCUGGCGGCGUGCCUAAUACAUGCAAGUCGAGCGAACAGAUGAGGAGCUUGCUCCUCUGACGUUAGCGGCGGACGGGUGAGUAACACGUGGAUAACCUACCUAUAAGACUGGGAUAACUUCGGGAAACCGGAGCUAAUACCGGAUAAUAUAUUGAACCGCAUGGUUCAAUAGUGAAAGACGGUUUUGCUGUCACUUAUAGAUGGAUCCGCGCCGCAUUAGCUAGUUGGUAAGAUAACGGCUUACCAAGGCAACGAUGCGUAGCCGACCUGAGAGGGUGAUCGGCCACACUGGAACUGAGACACGGUCCAGACUCCUACGGGAGGCAGCAGUAGGGAAUCUUCCGCAAUGGGCGAAAGCCUGACGGAGCAACGCCGCGUGAGUGAUGAAGGUCUUCGGAUCGUAAAACUCUGUUAUUAGGGAAGAACAAAUGUGUAAGUAACUAUGCACGUCUUGACGGUACCUAAUCAGAAAGCCACGGCUAACUACGUG
rnacentral:rRNA from 1 species